CCUACGGGUGGCUGCAGUAGGGAAUAUUGCGCAAUGGGCGAAAGCCUGACGCAGCGACGCCGCGUGAGUGAUGAAGGCCUUCGGGUCGUAAAGCUCUGUUGCAGGGGAAUAAAAAAAUGAAGGUACCCUGUGAGGAAGGAUCGGCUAACUUCGUGCCAGCAGCCGCGGUAAGACGAGGGAUCCUAGCGUUGCUCGGAAUCAUUGGGCGUAAAGAGGGCGUAGGUGGCUUGGUAAGUCAGGUGUGAAAGCCCAGGGCUCAACCCUGGAAGUGCAUU
rnacentral:rRNA from 1 species